rnacentral:rRNA from 1 species
GACGAACGCUGGCGGCGUGCUUAACACAUGCAAGUCGAACGGAAAGGCCCUGCUUUUGUGGGGUGCUCGAGUUGCGAACGGGUGAGUAACACGUGAGUAACCUGCCCUUGACUUUGGGAUAACUUCAUGAAACUGGGGCUAAUACCGGAUAGGAGCUCCUGCUGCAUGGUGGGGGUUGGAAAGUUUCGGCGGUUGGUGAUGGACUCGCGGCUUAUCAGCUUGUUGGUGGGGUAGUGGAUUACCAAGGCUUUGACGGGUAGCCGGCCUGAGAGGGUGACCGGCCACAUUGGGACUGAGAUGAGGCACAGCCUCCUCCGGGAGGCAGCAGUGGGGUAUAUUGCACAAUAGGCGGAGGCCUGAUGCAGCAAAGCCGCGUGCGGGAUGACGGCAUUCGGGUUGUAUACCGAUUUCGCCUGUGACGAAGCGUGAGUGACGGUAAUGGGUAAAGAAGCACCGGCUAACUACGUG